GGGCCCGUAGCUCAGUUUGGAUGGAGCGUCGGCCUGCGGAGCCGAAGGUCCUGGGUUCAAAUCCCAGCGGGCCCG
rnacentral:tRNA from 1 species